GCUACUGCACUAGCUAACAUUUAAUCUGUGAUGACUACAUACUCCUCGUGACUUUAAGAGCUUUAAGUAUUUUAACUCAUUUAAUUCUUAGAACAUUGCUAUGAGUUCUGUAAUACUAUUGUUGUUUACCGAAGAGGAAACUGAGGCACAGAAAGCCCAAGCUCUUGCACAAGGAUCAGAAGGGGGUAUAACCAGAAUUUGUUUCUCAGCAUCCUGACCAACAAUUAUUUUACCUACUAAACAGGGAAGCCUUUCAAAUAUAAUCCAGGGUAUCCGCUUCAUUUUACAACUAAAGAAAUGAAGGCUGGGUAAGGAUAAAGGACUCACAAAGAUCGUGUGUUUAGUUUCUGCUGGUCUAGACAUCUGGGUUCCAAAAGAAGAAUGCAUCUCCCAGGAGACAUGACAAUGAUUCCAUUCAACAGGAAGUUGAGACUGCCACCUGAACACUUUGGGCUCCUCAUGCCUCUGAAUCAACGGGCAAAGAAGAGAGUUAUAGAUCCUAACCACCCAGGAGAAAUUCGGUGGCCACUACACAAACAGACUUUUCUGACUCUGCGGCCAGGUGUUUGUAUUUAACUCCACGGUGAGGAGACUCAUCUUCUGACGGACCUAACCUAUACCAUCAAGCUCCAGCACCACAAGCAAAGACAAAAACCUUGCGGAAACUAUUUAACUAACUCCCACAAUUGCAUAAGAAGAGUCAUGAUCCUAAGAACAGAAGGGAGAUCCCUGUUGCUUUGACUUCUUGCUGUCCUCCUGCUAUUUGGCUCAAAAUGCAAACUCAGUUAUGAGAAGUACAUAGAAGAACAGGUAAACUAAAGCCUGGGCUUUUUCACCAGAGGAUGUGGAAAAGAGGCUUCAGGAAAUUGAGAAGUAUUAUGGAGAUUGCAAAAAUGAGGGAGCUGAAGAAAGAGUUAGAAUGACAGUGAAUGUGAGAAGAGAGAGAGAUGAAUACCACGAAGUUGCGUAUGUACUGCUGGACUAUACCCUGAACUGAGCAUGUAAACAUCUGACCACAGAUGGUAUAAUAAGGCUUUGAAAACUAAGCUACAAUAAAGACCAUCACCCAGGCCAAAAAUUGCUACUUGGAAAUGCACACACAGACUGAUCCAAAUAGCAUUGAAAACACUUAAAGAAAUGGUGCAGACAUUGGAGUCACAAUCCAAAGAAGGCAGAUCAGAGUUUGUUCCAUAAGCCUGAAUAGGUUGAUUGCUUAAUAUAAGAAGAAAAUCAACCUUUUUCUUAUGAUUUAAGACAUAAUCAGAGUCUCAUAACAUAUUCUCAAAAUGCCCAGGAUAUAAUUUAAAAUUAUUUGGCAUAUGAGAAACCAGUGUGAUCGUCUCUUAACUCUUAAAGAAAAAGACAAUUAAAAAUAUCACAAUCAAAAUGACAGGAAUGUUGUAUUUAUCAGAUAAAGACAUUAAAGAGAUAUUAUAACCAUGCUCUAACAGGCAAAUGAAAAGACUCAUAAUGAAUAGAAAAAUAGAAGGUCUCAGCAAAGAGAAAGAAUAUAUGAAGAUGAAAAAUGGAAAUUUUAGAACUGGACAAUGUGACAGUCCAAAGAGAAAAUUCACUGGAUGGACUAAAUAGGAUAAUGGAGAUAACAGAGGAAAAGAGGCAGAUGACUUGAAUACCGAUCAUGAGAAAUUAACUAUUUCAAAGAAGAGAGUAAAAAGAGACUUAAAAAUAAAAUGAACAGAGCCUCUGAGUCCUGUGAAACAAUGUCAAAAAGCCUAAUAUUGGUGUCAUCUGAACCACAGAAGGAGGAAGAAAGUAUGAGAAAAAAUAUCUAAAGAAAAAUAGCCAGAAACUUCCUUAAUUUGGCGAAAGAUAAAAUCUUAAAGAUGCCUGAGGAGGCUCAGGAAACUCUAAGGAGAAGAAGCUACAAAAAAUCUACACUCUAAAACUUCUGAAAUUAAAAAACAAAGAAAAAAUUUUUGAAUGCACCCAGAAACUCAAUACAAAUGGAGAAUUCUGAUUUGAAUACUGUAUAUUUUAUAUAAGGAAACAUGGUAGUUAAGGGGAAGUGGAACAACAUUUUUUAAGUGAUGCAAAAAAUGAUUCUAUAUUCAGAAAUCUUUAUCCAGUAAAAAUAUUCUUGAUAAAUGAAAAUCAAAUAAAGAUAUUCCUGAUGAAACUAAA
rnacentral:lncRNA from 1 species